rnacentral:tRNA from 1 species
UGGGGAUGUAGCUCAGUGAUAGGGUGCUUCCCUAGCAUGGUAGAGGCUCUGGGUUUGAUCCCUAGCACUAA